rnacentral:rRNA from 1 species
CAGCCGCCACGGUAAUACGUGGGGUGCGAGCGUUAAUCGGAAUUACUGGGCGUAAAGCGUACGCAGGCGGUUGUGUAAGACAGGUGUGAAAUCCCCGGGCUUAACCUAGGAACUGCGCUUGUGACUGCACAGCUAGAGUAUGGCAGAGGGGGGUGGAAUUCCACGUGUAGCAGUGAAAUGCGUAGAGAUGUGGAGGAACACCGAUGGCGAAGGCAGCCCCCUGGGCCAAUACUGACGCUCAUGCACGAAAGCGUGGGGAGCAAACAGGAUUAGAUACCCCUGUAGUCCCUGUCUCUUAUAC